rnacentral:rRNA from 1 species
CAAUAGCGUAUAUUAAAGUUGUUGCAGUUAAAAAGCUCGUAGUUGGAUUUCUGAUCGAGACAUCAGGUCGGGUCCGAGAGGAUCAUGUACUUUGAUUUUGUUUUGAUCAUCCUUGGGGAGAGCAUUUCUGGCAUUCAGUUGUCGGGAUUGGGAUCCUCAUCGUUUACCGUGAAAAAAUUAGAGUGUUCAAAGCAGGCCUCGGCCUCUGAAUACAUUAGCAUGGAAUAAUAAGAUAGGACUUUGGUGGUCUAUUUUGUUGGUUUGCACGCCAAAGUAAUGAUUAAUAGGGAUAGUUGGGGGUAUUCGUAUUCAAUUGUCAGAGGUGAAAUUCUUGGAUUUAUGGAAGACGAACUACUGCGAAAGCAUUUACCAAGGAUGUUUUCAUUAA